GGAAGCGACCUUCAACCAAUCGGGAACCCCACGUGGGGAGAGCGUAGUGACCCCACGAGCUAGAGCGCCGCCAAAGCUCUGUCCUACCUCGAGCCCCUACCACUUGGAGGACUUUUUCCGCCCAGCGAGGUGAGGGGCUAGAGCGGCCUAAAGUACGCUCUGGAAGAAGGGAGGUUUCCCGAGCGACUCACCCCAAAACCUCAGAGUGUGAUGAUACUGCGCUGAGAAAUCAAAGAGCGAAAGGAGACAGUUUCCACGGGCGUUAAGCCCUUUAACUUAAAAUUUUAUUAAAGGAGGUACAGGAGCCAGAUCUACAAAGCAGCAAAGGACCUUACAAGCAUAAAGAAUAGCAUGAGGCAAAGGUUCCUGCAGAAUGUUAGGCAGAAUCAUCAAUGACUGAAGAGCAGCGGAAAUUGCACCCUACCUCACAGAUGCUACAAGACAGCUAUUUAAGUGGGAAUCUCUUCCUCUCCACCCCCAAAGGAAAAAAAUUAAACCAGUCUCCUGGCACUCUCAUGUAGUGUCAGAAGUAUAACUGCACUGUUAAAGCAAUUUAACUAUUCUUAUUUUUAAAACGUUCGAUAUGUACAAGAGAAUGUUAAUGUAAAUUACAAAACAUAAUAAAAUGAAUACCUGUGAAUGUACCACCCAAUUUAUGAAAAAAAAUUAACCUGUACUAUUGAAACUUACUGUGGGCUCCUCCCAAAUUUCACCUUCUCUCUGCUUCCUUCCAAAAGUAAUCACUAUCCUGAUUUUUAAAAAUAAUUUUCUUGUCUUUAUAUAAUUACCAUAUAUAUUCGUAGAUAUACACUAUUUACUAUUCCUUGUCUUUGAACUUGAGUUAUUUCCUUGCUAUAUUAUACUGCUGCUUGUUUGCAAUCAACUUUGUAUCUAGACUCCAUCCCUGUUAUAUGUAGUUGUAUUUUCUCUGCCAUAUAGCAUUCCAUUGUAUGAAUACACCAUGAUUUAUAUUCUCCAUUUUCCUAUCACCAACAUUUAGAGCGUUUCCUUUCUCCAUCCCCACACUCAUUAUGUAAUUUCUGAUUAUUCUUGUAUAUUCUGUACCCUGCGUGUGAGAAUUGUUUUUAUGGUAGAAUUGUUGGUUUGAAGGAUACAACAGUCAAAGAACUUUCUAAAGUUGUGCCAUUAUACACUUAUAGUAGUGUCUUCUCCUUAAGCUUAAGCACAGAUCCUUCCUUAUUUUUCCAAAGCUUAAGAUAAGGUUGCCAAGUUUGAAAAUUUUAUCAAUGGAAGUCUGAUUUGCAAGAAAAAUCUUAAAACUAAAUAGCAUAAUUCAGUGUUGGAAAUCUUUGGUCAUGUCCCUUCAUUGGGGAUCCUUUCCCCAGUUACCCAGGGCCAACUCACCAUGCCAGGAAAACAGCCUUCUUUAUCAGUCUUGUCUUUCAGAUCAGAUCAAAGAAAAUAAAGACCCCAGACACACUCCAAAAAAAACAAAACAACAAAACAAAGAGCAUGCUGCCUACAAAGAUGAAGCCUUGCCCACAAUGUAGUCAUCCUUUUUACCUCACUGCAUUACAGUUGUUCAUAAUUGUUCUGAGCUUCUUCAUUCCAGGAUGAAUUUUUGCUUUAUUUUCAUAUACCCAGAAGACCUAUUAAACUGUUUUUUCAAAAAAGCACCCUUCCCCUAGAGAUAAAUUUUACAAUCAUCCCUAGAGUAGUUCUAUAGGUUAAAACCUCUUGGCUUGAAAGUAACAGAAACCAUUUCAAGCUAGCCUAAGGAGAAUCUAAGGACACAAGGGUAACUUAAGGCAUCAGAAAAGAAUCCAUCAUUGCCCAAGUUUGGAUCAGGUACCCUUCUGAAACUCAGUCUAGAGAGAUGAGGUCAUAUUGUAGCAAAUGGCUUCCAAUGAAUCUUUGCUGUGGAUGAGAGAGGGUCACUUUAAAUGCUCAACAAAUGUUUUUUAAAUGUUUGAAUGUUGGGAAGAGCCAGAGCAACAAUUUCUAAAUAGCAAAACCAAAAGUAGAUAUCCCAUUUGUUCCUUUCCUCUUUCCAAAGAGUCAAUAAUUAUGAGUCAACUAUCUUUAUAAAAACUCUACUCAUUAGUGAAAGAUCUCAUUAAAGAUGUAUAUAUACACAUCAUAUAUGUUUGUGUGUGUGUGUACAGACCAUUAAUUUAGAGCCUUCCUUUCCAAGUAUUACAGAGCAGUAUAAAGCAGUUUCCCUACCUUGAUAGUAUUGACAUUUGGGGCCAGAUAAUGUUUUUUGAAGGGGGCAGGCUGUCCUGUGUAUUGUAAAAUGUUUAGCAGCAUCUCUGGCCUCUGCCCAGUAGAUGACAGUAACGUUCCCCUUCUCCCUAUUGUGACAAACAAAAAUGUCUCUAAAUGCCAAAUGGCCCCUGGGUGGUAAUACUGAUCGAUUUAAAAACCAUUGGUAAAGAACAUGGCCUUAGUAAACUUUUAGUACAAUUAAAGACACAAAACAUUUUUGAAACAAUUAGAGAACAAAAACUAAAACAAUAUACAAGAUUAUAUUGCAAACGAUCAUAACAUUUCAAUUUUCAUUUAAUAAUCUUGGGGGAACAUAGAAAAAAUAAUUUACCAUUUUAUUCUGUUGGAAAAUAACAGUGGUCAUAUACAAGAGCCUCAUGGUGUUUAAUGCUAUUUGGAAUGUUGUUCAGAUUUUUACCAGAAGGAUGCUACAGAUAAAAGUACCUUAAUUUCCCCCCACAAUUUCUCAGAUAGCAACUGUAUCUGACUGAAGUUGUGAAUCAGUAACAUAUUUCAUAUUGUUUUAUUGGGACAAUUUCAGAAAUGAGCUUUAUCUGUCUAAUUGGCUUUGGUUUGUAAGGACCACCUAACCUUAGCUUUAUCUGUUCUUACAGGCUUUCAAUCUAAUAAUGCACAUCUACAUUAAUCUAUUCAACAAAUAUCUAUUGAACACCUAGGUACCAGGACCUGUGCUAUGCAUUUGGGGAUAUGUGGUCAGCAAAUAAUACUACUAACAGUUCUUCCCCUCAUGGAGUUUACCAUCUAAUGAGAGAAAGAGACAUUGAUCAAAUGUGAAUUUAACAAAUGUAUUAAGCCCUUAAUACAUUUGGUGCUAUGUGGUUCUACAAUGGACAGAAGUUACCUCUUCAGGGAGCUCAGGGAAGUUUUCCUAAGAAAGUGAAAAAUUGAGUUGAAAUCUAAGAAUCACUAAGGGUGAAGGGAUGAGGCUAAGGAAUGGUGGUGGCUGAGAUGAAGAGGAUCAUUUGAGAAAACAGCCAAAAUAGGAACCCUCAACUAAAUAAAUGAUCGGGAAUUCAUUUGUAAGGACAAUAUUCCUUGUCCUUCCUUACAGUCAAGUUAUAUUAGUCCCUUCGCAGAGCAAGACAAAAAGAUACAGCAAUCUAAACUGAAUGGAUGUUAAGUUUUAGAAGUAUUAUUUAACAUAAAUUUACCAUGUAUAAUCUGAUAAUGGUACUGGAAAGUUUUGUCCAUAUGAAACCAUUUAACUAAAAACUUAGUUCUAUAGCAGAGGAUAAAGAACACCCUAAAACUGUAUUUAAUUGAAUGAUCCACUAAAAUAGUAUGGCAAAUACAUAGUGUAUGAUAUAAAUGCAUGUUAAGGAAGAAGAAUGGCAGAGUAGAAAGAGCAUUAAGCUCUAAAGCAGUGCCCUGGCCAGUGUAGCUCAGUUGGUUGGAGCAUCCUCCUGUAGACCCGUGAUCUUUUGAUCACAGGUUCUAAUUCCCAGUCAGGGCACAUACCCAGAUUGUGUGUUUGAUCCCUGGUUGUGACAUGUACAAGAAGUCAACCAAUUAAUGCUUCUCUCUCUCUCUCUCUCUCUCUCUCAAAGCAAUGAAAAAAAUAUCCUCAGGUGAGAACAAAAAUAUAAAUGAAUAAAUAAAUAAACUCUAGAGCAGUAUGCCUUGACCUAGCUUAGAAGGUUGAACUAGUAGCUCACCAAUUUCUGCCCAACUCAGAAAUUGAACCAGACAAGAACCAGAAAAAUAUUCUUUCUCAGGCUGAUCCAACCAGACUACUGCUGAAAUAAGUCCUUAAGCCCAUUUCUACUUUUCCAAAAGUACAUCACUUCGUUAAUCAUAACUAAUGACCCCCAUGCCAUUUUGCCCCACAAAGUCAAUCUAUGAGAGAACAUAAGAUGAUGAGGAAUUUACACUGGAUUUGUGAACUGUAGUGUUGGAAGCAUUAGUUAUACCACAUGCAAUCUAUAAUUGAACCCAGAGAAAGGAUGACUUAUGCAGAGAAUCAUUUUUGUGUUCCAUGUAGUGCCUAGUAUUUAGUAUGAGCUAAAUUUAAAAAUAUAUCAAUGUAAUCACUCUUUAGUAACUCAGUUUUAGAAGUCUUGAGUAAGACCAAAGGUGAAAAUGAGACUCUUUGAAUGCUGUUAUUAUAAAGCUAAGUCCAAAAUACUUCAGUGUAUUUUUUAAAUUGAUUUGAGAGUGAGAGAGGGUAGGGGAGAGUGAAUCACUGAUUUGCUGUUCCACUUAUUUUUGCAUGUAUUGGUUGAUUCUUGUAUGUGCCCUGACAAGGGAUCAAAUCCACAACCUUAACUUGUCAGGUUGAUGCUGUAACUAAAUGAGCUACCCAGCCAGGGCUUACUUCAAUGUGUUUUGUAUGUCCUGUGAGAAAAACAAGAGAGAGAGGAUUCCAGCCUUUGAGGAGCUUACAAAUCUGUAAAGUAAGAUUUCACUGCACAUGAACAACUUUAGAAAAACUUUAAAAGGGAGCAUGAAAACAAAGGUACAGAACAAGAUGUACAGUAUCCUGCUAUUUACAUUUUCCUAAGAAAGCACACUCACAUAUAUAUGUAUGUUGGGUUUCACAAUCUCUCAAUAGGUACAUCAGACACUAAUAGCAAUGACUGGGAAAGGGCCGUGGAAGACUGGGGGGUUAGGGAUUGGAGGAAGACUUACUUUUCACUAUAUAGCCUUUAGCACU